GCCGGGCGCGGUGGCUCACGCCUGUAAUCCCAGCACUUUGGGAGGCCGAGGCGGGCGGAUCACGAGGUCAGGAGAUGGAAACCAUCCUGGCUAACACGGUGAAACUCCAUCUNNNNNNNNNNCGCCCCCCACCUCGCCUGGCUUAAUUUUUUGUAUUUUUUUUUUUUUUAAGUUAGAGAUGGAGUUUCACCGUGUUAGCCAGGAUGGUUUCCAUCUCCUGACCUCGUGAUCCGCCCGCCUCGG
rnacentral:SRP_RNA from 1 species